rnacentral:rRNA from 1 species
CAGGCGGUUGCUUAGGUCUGAUGUGAAAGCCUUCGGCUUAACCGAAGAAGUGCAUCGGAAACCGGGCGACUUGAGUGCAGAAGAGGACAGUGGAACUCCAUGUGUAGCGGUGGAAUGCGUAGAUAUAUGGAAGAACACCAGUGGCGAAGGCGGCUGUCUGGUCUGCAACUGACACUGAGGCUCGAAAGCAUGGGUAGCGAACAGGAUUAGAUACCCUGGUAGUCCAUGCCGUAAACGAUGAGUGCUAGGUGUUGGAGGGUUUCCGCCCUUCAGUGCCGGAGCUAACGCAUUAAGCACUCCGCCUGGGGAGUACGACCGCAAGGUUGAAACUCAAAGGAAUUGACAGGGGCCCGCACAAGCGGUGGAGCAUGUGGUUUAAUUCGAAGCUACGCGAAGAACCUUACCAGGUCUUGACAUCUUGCGCUAACCUUAGAGAUAAGGCGUUCCCUUCGGGGACGCAAUGACAGGUGGUGCAUGGUCGUCGUCAGCUCGUGUCGUGAGAUGUUGGGUUAAGUCCCGCAACGAGCGCAACCCUUGUUACUAGUUGCCAGCAUUAAGGUGGGCACUCUGGAGAGACUGCCAGGGAUAACCUGGAGGAAGGUGGGGAUGACGUCAAAUCAUCAUGCCCCUUAUGACCAGGGCUACACACGUGCUACAAUGGCGUAAACAAAGGGAAGCAGAGCCGCGAGGCCGAGCAAAUCCCAAAAAUAACGUCUCAGUUCGGAUUGUAGUCUGCAACUCGACUACAUGAAGCUGGAAUCGCUAGUAAUCGCGAA